GACGAACGCUGGCGGCGUGCUUAACACAUGCAAGUCGAACGAAGUGGCGGACGGGUGAGUAACGCGUAAUCAACCUGCCCUUCAGAGGGGGACAACAGUUGGAAACGACUGCUCAUACCCCAUACUGAAGGAGGGGAUGGCGUGUGAUUAGCUAGUUGGGGGGGUAACGGCCCACAAAGGCGAUGAUCAGGAGGCGGUCCGGGAGGAUGAACGGCCACAUUGUGACUGAGAAACGGCCCAGACUCCUACGGGAGGGAGCAGGGGGGAAUCUUCCGCAAUGGAAGAAAGUCUGACGGAGCAACGCCGCGGGAGUGAUGACGGCCUUCGGGUUGUAAAGCUCUGUUAAUCGGGACGCGGUACCGGAAUAGAAAGCCACGGCUAACUACGUGCCAGCAGCCGCGGUAAUUC
rnacentral:rRNA from 1 species